AAGGUAGGCACUGCUCCACUUGCAGCUUCUAAGGGGAGCUGCUCCAAGGCACUUCCUGCUGCUGGCACUCCAGAGGGAUCCGCCUCCCAGCAGGGCUGGCUUUCAAACAGGCACAACCAGAUUCCCCAGGCACAAAGUAAUCAAUCUGCCUGUCUCCUGCAGUGGCAGAAGGCAGUUUCAGUCUACCACUCCUGAGGAUGAUCACACUUGGACAACGAUAUAAGAAUUAGAAACAGGAAGAAUGAAGGAAAUACUUCAGGGAAUGCUACCCAAGACACGUUCCUUAGGGAAUAUUCUGGAAAAAUGUUUUUGGGACUAUACUGAAGCUCAACCUCAGGAGUUCCUGUGUAAAGGAUAAAAGCCACCAUCACAGGAUUCAGAGUGCAAUGAAACAAACCAAACAAAAAAGAUACUGGAAUUAACUUCCUGUGUUGCAAGAGGGGGAAAAAAACCUAACAAAAAAAACCCACCAAACAAAAAACGCAGGAAAUCAUCCUGACCACAUAAACCAUGAAAGAUCGUCUGCAAGAGCUCAAAUUGAGGGCUAAGGAACUACAGAUAGCUGGGGAAAACAAUGGUGCAACUGUACAAGAAGAGGAGCAGGAGGAGUUUGAACAGCAGGCCAUUAUUUAUGAAAAAGAGCCCAUAACCGAAAGGCACUUGCACGAAAUCCAGAAGCUUCAGAACGAAAUUAAUAAUCUGGUGGAAGAAGUCAAUAAAUUCAGCCAACAACAAAAAAGCCUCGUGUCUUCAAUGAGAAGAUUCAGCGUUCUCAAGAAGGAAUCUAACAUAGCAAGGGAGAUCAAAAUUCAAGCAGAACACGUACGCAAAUGUUUGGAUGAACUGUCAAAAGCAGUGAGGAAAGCUGAAAAUGAGCACGGGCCAGCCCGAGCCACGGUGAGGAUCCUGGCAGCCCAGCACGCCUUCCUGUCCCACCGCUACCUGCAGGCCAUGCUCUCCUACAACGAGGCUAUCACCGCCAAGCAGGACAAGUGCAGGACCUUCAUCCUCCGCCAGCUUGAGGUAGCUGGGAAAGAGGUGUCUGAGGAGGAAGUCAAUGACAUGCUCCAGCAAGGAAAAUGGGAGAUUUUCAAUGAAAAUUUGCUUACUGAAGUCAAGAUUACUAAAGCUCAGCUGUCAGAGAUUGAGCAGAGACACAAAGAACUGAUCAAUCUGGAGAACCAGAUCAAAGAUGUGAAAGAACUCUUUAUCCAGAUCUCAGUUCUGGUGGAGGAGCAAGGGGAGAUGAUCAAUAACAUAGAGAUCUGCAUGAACAACACUCAAGAAUAUACUCAAGUGUCUAAAGAAAAGUUUGGGCUUGCAGUCAGGUAUAAAAAAAGAAACCCUUGCAAAGCCAUUUGCUGCUGGUGUUGUCCAUGCUGCAGAUGACACAAGAAAUGAACUGCUUGAAAUACCAAUGGUUCCUCCACACCAAACUGACCUUGGAAAGCACUCUUGGGAUCCCUCAACUUCUUCACUUUUCUUCCCACCUUCCCUUCAGCACAGCUCUCAGGAAAAACUGCAUCCAUUUGUCAAAAGAGAGUAAAGAAUUUUACGGUUUUCACAGAAAACACGUGAACUACAGGAAAGGAUCAAAGGAUAAAGGAAUCUGAAAGUCUACAAAACAAAUCCACACAUGAAGCAGACACCACUAGUAACAAUCCAGAAUGGGAUGCCUAAACCAAACAAGAGGUCAGAAAACUUACCAGGAAUGUUUCAAUACUACCUCUAUAGGAAAAGUUCAUAAACUUUUCAUAAACUGACACAGAGAUAUUUAUAUUAUUCAGCUCCACAGGCAGAGCCCUAGCAGGAUAGGGGAAUAUGAUCUUUAAUUACACACUCACAAGGCACAUUCUUAAUGCUGCCUGUCCUACCUAAAUACACAGUCACAUCUGCAGUCUCACUUUUGCUAGCACAAAAAUGAACGAAAAAAUAGAAUGAAAAAUAGAACUCCAUCCUC